ACCUGAAUCCAAAACAUAGCAGGCAUAUAUAAAUUAGUCAAAUCUUGGAGAACAAUAUCCUGUUAUGCGUAGAAAGAUUGCUCGUUGACUCGUUGUCAAUGAGAAUGUAGAUAGAAAUUUGGAACAUACUGUUUGCAGUAGCGAGCCCGAGUCAUCUGCAAAGGCAUUGCUUUUCCUACCAGAUACAAUCUCAAGAACAAGCACACCGAAGCUGUAGACAUCAGCCUUCUCCGUGAGCUGUCCUCUGACAAGUGUCCCGGCAAUGCCAGUGCUGAGAUGAGUUUUAUCAGGCGCAAAACAGCGUGCAAGCCCAAAAUCAGCAAUCUUAGGUGCGAGGUUUUCAUCCAAAAGGACAUUGCUGCUCUUGAUGUCCCUGUGGAUGAUUCUGAUUGAGGUUCCUCCAUGGAGAAAGGCUAUACCUUCUGCUGUCCCAACCACAAUGUGAACCCGCUCCCUCCAGGUCAGAACCUUGUUCUUGUCUGCAAAAGAGAAUUGAAAACACUUCCAGUGAACCAAACUUCCCAAUAAUGUGCAAUCACACUAUCAGCUUAAACUUUUAGUUGAGAAGGAACACAUUCAGAGUCCGACCCAAACAAAAACCAAGAACAGAAUUAUAGGAAGUACCAAAGAUGUAUUGAUCGAGGCUCUUGUUAGGCACAAACUCAUAAACCAGCAGGCUUUCGGGGCCUUCGAUGCUGCAACCCAGAAGCUUGACAAGAUUCCUGUGCUCAACUCCACUUAUAAGAUUCACCUCAUUGAAGAACUCAUCCACCCACUGCCUAGUAUUGAAAAACAAUCUCUUCACUGCAACAACUCUCCCAUCAUUCAACGUUCCCUUGUACACAGAACCAGCUCCUCCUUGCCCAAGUUUCAUGGAAGGAUCAAAAUAGUUGGUUGCCUUCUCCAGAGUUUCAUACUUAAAGUUGAGAUUAGAUUUGCUGUAAAUGCCCAAUAAUGGACCAAGAUUCUUCCUUUCUGCAUUAGGACAAGAAAAAUGUCACCACUCUUCAAACACCAAAUAGAAUUAUAUAUUUAUUCACGGGAACAAACCCCAACCAAAUUGGUAAGACAGUUGACUUUGUAGUCACAAGAUUUUAAAUUUGAUUCUCGUGGGGCUAUUUGUUGACCUUCUUUGUUUUAUGUCACCAAAUGGAAUAUAUAUUUAUUCAAUGAGGUAACUCUCAA